rnacentral:rRNA from 1 species
UACAGAGGGUGCAAGCGUUAAUCGGAAUUACUGGGCGUAAAGCGCACGUAGGUGGCUUGAUAAGUUGGGUGUGAAAUCCCCGGGCUUAACCUGGGAAUUGCAUUCAAAACUGUCUUGCUAGAGUGUGGAAGAGGGAAGCGGAAUUCCAGGUGUAGCGGUGAAAUGCGUAGAUAUCUGGAGGAACAUCAGUGGCGAAGGCGGCUUCCUGGUCCAACACUGACACUGAGGUGCGAAAGCGUGGGGAGCAAACAGG